rnacentral:rRNA from 1 species
AAAAAGCAUAUUUGUAAAAAUAUUUGGAAGAAAAUGACUUAUUUUUCCAUAGUACAAUCUUAUUCUUUAGUAAAAUCAAGAUCAUUUUCGAGCGGUAAUGAGCAUCCAAAACCAAAGGUUUUUUUCUAG